GACCCAUGGAACACCCCUGCACCCGUCCACCCUGGCUCCCUCAGGGGACAAUCGUUCACUCCCUUUGUAACCCACACGCCUGUUAACCAACCAUGUCCGAUCCAUCUCUAAGGAGCCACUAACAUAUAAUACAACUUUCAACAACGGAUCUCUUGGCUUUCUCAUCUAUUAAGAACCCCGCAAAAAUGCCAAACAUAAUGUAAAUUGCAGAAUUCAUUGAAUCAUCAAAUCUUUAAACGCAUCUUGCACUCCUUGUGAUUCCCAUGAGAAUGCCUGUAUGAUUGUCGUGAAAUCUAUCUAUCCCCCGGCUCUUUGUUAGUCCGUUGUUCUCAUUUGGACGCUGCCUCCCUUCUUGAACCGCUCGUCUCUCAAUGCAUUAGCUGUUUCCCAUCCCACAAACGACGGUGUUAUAACAAACUACGCGGCGUCAAAGAAAACCAAAAUGGGUCGGCUCACAGUCGGCUGUCCGACAAAGAGCAUCAUCAUCUGACCUCAAAUCUCGUAUGACUACCCGCUGAACUGGACCAUAUC
rnacentral:rRNA from 1 species